rnacentral:piRNA from 1 species
CCCACGGGACUCAGCAGUGAUAAA